AUUGAACGCUGGCGGCAGGCUUAACACAUGCAAGUCGAGCGGAGCGGCGGACGGGUGAGUAAUGCCUAGGAAUCUGCCUGGCAGUGGGGGUUAACGUCCGGAAACGGGCGCUAAUACCGCACACUAUCAGAUGAGCCUUGGUCGGAUUAGCUAGUUGGUGGGGUAAAGGCCUACCAAGGCGACGAUCCGUAACUGGUCUGAGAGGAUGAUCAGUCACACUGGAACUGGGGCACGGUCCAGGCUCCUGCGGGAGACAGCAGUGGGGAAUAUUGGACAAUGGGCGAAAGCCGGAUACAGCCAUGCCGCGUGUGGGAAGAAGGUCGUCGGAUUGUAAGGCACUUUAAGUUGGGAGGCGUUACCAACAGAAUAAGCGCCGGCUAACUUCGUGCCAGCAGCCGCGGUAAUAC
rnacentral:rRNA from 1 species